AUGUGUGCCUAUGCCAAGAGGCACACAUAUUACUAUUCCUCGGAUUUAUUAUUCUUAUUAUUAUUAUGUGUGCCUAUGCCAAGAGGCACACAUAUUACUAUUCGUCGGAUUUAUUAUUCUUAUUAUUAUUAUUAUUAUUAUUAUGUGUGCCUAUGCCAAGAGGCACACAUAUUACUAUUCCUCGGAUUUAUUAUUAUGUGUGCCUAUGCCAAGAGGCACACAUAUUACUAUUCGUCGGAUUUAUUAUUAUUAUUAUUAUGUGUGCCUAUGCCAAGAGGCACACAUAUUACUAUUCGUCGGAUUUAUUAUUCUUAUUAUGUGUGCCUAUGGAAAGAGGCACACAUAUUACUAUUCGUCGGAUUUAUUAUUCUUCUUAUUAUGUGUGCCUAUGACAAGAGGCACACAUAUUACUAUUCGUCGGAUUUAUUAUUAUGUGUGCCUAUGACAAGAGGCACACAUAUUACUAUUCGUCGGAUUUAUUAUUAUUAUUAUUAUGUGUGCCUAUGCCAAGAGGCACACAUAUUACUAUUCCUCGGAUUUAUUAUUAUUAUUAUUAUUAUUAUUAUUAUUAUUAUUAUUCUCCAGUUUCCGCCUGAAAUUUUGCAGCGAAUCUCGCCCGCAGUUUGAGACAAGCUUCAUAUAUGUUACCUCAUUUUGUGCGGCCGGAUCUGGAAUGGUGUGCUAUGACUUUUGGUCUUUAUGAAUUUUAUAGUUUUUAAAUAUUAAUAUUUUAGUGAAAAUUUUCCCGCGCUCCUCUGCCGAACAGUUUUGACAUUAGGGUUACAUAUGUUAGAUCAUUUUGUGCGGCUGGAGCUGGACUAUUAUGUCAUGACUUUUGGUGUUCAUGACUUUUAUAGUUUUUUAAAUAUUAAUAUUUUAGUGCAAAUUUAGGCCAAUUCAUCUUUUGGCGCCAAAUAAACAGACUUCAUUUGUGGUGUGUUGGCUCUCUCUAGUGGUAUGCCGGGAGUGGUACAGCCUGUCUACCCUUAUUUGGAUUACCGUAAUGAUGACAAUUUCAACGGUGCGCACAGCGUCGCUGCUUUCAGGAGCCAUUGGAAUUUUUAAGGUUGCGCAAAUCAUUCAAAAGUUACGGUAAUGCUUGGUGGAAAACUCAAUAUCCCACAAUUCAUAGCACGCCUCUACAGAGUGAACAAUGGCAGCCACCACUUCGUUUUAUAUGUCUUUUAUUCGUGUUUCUAGGUCACAAAAUAAGCUUUUAAGAUAUUUUCAGGCGAGAAUGUAGGUGUGUAAACUUCAAAUAUCUGCUUGUUUUAUCAAGACAUCCCAUAUUUAGCGACAGUGCUCUGACUACGUCGGUCCUGCCUGACAGCUAGCUGGCUACCUAGCUAGCUGCCGCACUUGGCUGCAAAUGGAUAGCGAGGGGACUCUCUGUAGUUUCACCUCCCCGGUCUCUCGCAAAUGCUCGCAUAGAAUCAGAGUUACAGCUGGAUGUGGAAAAAAUAACUGAGUUGUUUGGUGGUGGAGCUACAACAGAGGGCAGCUACCCACCGGUGUGUGACAGAAAGGAUAUGCCGCCAACGAGACAUAUGAGGCCGGGCAGGCGAUUGCUAACGCGGUGGUCAAUCAUGGAUCAGGGAAAGCGAAGGCAGGAGCGUGAGGUGAACUGAAUUUCAGGUAAGAAGUUAUGAACUGCACUCUAUUUGGGUCAGAUAUAAACCGAGUUUAGGUGUAGUUUAUUUAGCAGCAGUUCUCUUAUGUGUUGCUGAUAGCCGGCUAGCUAGCUAGCGCCGCUAGCAUAGUUAGCUCGCGCCGCUAGCAACCCUUCGUGAAAAAGCACCCAGGCUUGGCUUAUAUUGAGGCGGGUGAAACUCGUGUCAGCACCCGGUCGCUCUCUAUUGGGUCAGAUAUAAACCGAGUUUAGGUGUAGUUUCUUUAGCAGCAGUUUUCUUAUGUGUUGCUGAUAGCCGGUCACAGCACUAGCUAGCUAGCGCCGCUAGCAUAGUUAGCUCGCGCCGCUAGCAACCCUUCGUGAAAAAGCACCCAGGCUUGGCUUAUAUUGAGGCGGGUGAAACUCGUGUCAGCACCCGGUCGCUCUCUAUUUGGGUCAGAUAUAAACCGAGUUUAGGUGUAGUUUAUUUAGCAGCAGUUCUCUUAUGUGUUGCUGAUAGCCGGCUAGCUAGCUAGCGCCGCUAGCAUAGUUAGCUCGCGCCGCUAGCAACCCUUCGUGAAAAAGCACCCAGGCUUGGCUUAUAUUGAGGCGGGUGAAACUCGUGUCAGCACCCGGUCGCUCUCUAUUUGGGUCAGAUAUAAACCGAGUUUAGGUGUAAUUUAUUUUCGUUGACCUUUUACAAUCGUAAUGCCACGGGAGUUUAUAUACAGCUGUGUGCGCACUAAGUUACUGACGUUGGACUUUAUUUUAUUCAUUAGGGUUAGUUCUUAGAGUUGCCGUGCCGUACAAACGGAAUCGUCCCACAUUCAGAGAAAACAUUAUGAUUUAUUCUGUCGUUACGAAGCCUCCCCUGUCAUUCUCUCGCGUGUUGAAACGUCAACCAUGAAACUGAUCAAUGAUCGGCUGUUCGCUCUUAUUUAUCGCGCUAAACAACAGCAGCACGUUUAAGCUUGAUCAGCUGUUGUUAGAAUUCUUUUGAUUUUAAUUUCUAGUAUCAGCUGAUGUUUGCUGGAGCAUGAAGAUGAAAUCAGGAGAUGUCCUUACUGAAUCAUCAGAGCUGAACUGGUGAUGGAGAAACAGGUUUACACUUUAGGUGACAUGAAUGAGUUGAAGGGAAGUUAUGAGUUGUUUCUGAGAGACAAAGACCAAGCUCCUUUUUGUGUAGCUGACAGCUGGUAACUGUGCAGGGGCGGAUCUAGCAAAGCUUUUAGGGGGGGGGGGGGAGCUAGGGCAUUAACAGAGAAAGGUGGACACAAAGAUAUACUUUUCUUUCUUACUCUCAUAUAAAAUAUUUAGCUUUUAUUAAAUAGUUAUCUGAAUCUCACAACCAAAGUUUGUAUAAUAAUACACAGGAUUGCCUGUAGACCAUUGUUCAUAAUUCAGAACACUGUGUAAAAAUAACAAAAAACAAAAAGUGAAUGCAUGUGUGAAAAGUGGUCUAUAAUGUAAUGCUUCAAAGUGUGUUCAUGCAAACAUUGUCGGGUCUGCCGUGGUACAAUGGGACUUCUGCUCAUGAACCUGUGUGCACAGCGUCUGCAAAUCGGCGCUGUACAAAGUAACUUCAUCUUUACACAAAACUGUAAGCUGUCAUCUGUGAAGCGUGAGCGGUGUUUGUUUUUACCAUAGUUCAUGGUGGAGAAUGGCUGCUCUUCUGAGUUUUGCUCUCUGUAGCCGUAUGAAUGGCAAACUACAGUGAUUAGCAGCGGCAUAGGCACACAUAAAAUUUCUUCUGAAAUUUUCGCUUUCUAGUUAUUAUUAUUAUUAUUCUUCAGUUUCCGCCUGAAAUUUUGCAGCGAAACUCGCCCCGCAGUUUUGAGACAAGCUUCAUAUAUGUUACCUCAUUUUGUGCGGCUGGAUCAGGAAUGGUGUGCUAUGACUUUUGGUGUUUAUAACUAUUAUAGUUUUUUAAAUAUUAAUAUUUUAGUGAAAAUUUUCCCGCGCUUCUCUGCGAAACAGUUUUGAAAAUAGGGUUACAUAUGUUACAUCAUUUUGUGCGGCUGGAGCUGGACCAGUAUGGUAUACACUUUUGGUGUUUAUGACUUUUAUAGUUUUUGAAAUAUUUAGAUUUUAGUGCAAAUUUAGGCCAAUUUCCAUAGAAACAGACUUUAUUUGUGGUGGGUUGGCUCUCUCUAGUGGUAUACCGGGAGUAGUACGGCUGAAAAUCUGUAUGCUUGUUACAAAACUCCAUAUCCCAUAAUUCAUAGCACCCCUCUGCCGAGUUAAACAAUGGCGGACACCACUUCGUUUUAUAUGUCUUUUAUUCGUGUUUCUAGGUCACAAAAUACACUUUUAAGAUAUUUUCAGGCGAGAAUGUAGGUGUGUAAACUUCAAAUAUCUGCU
ensembl:lncRNA